ensembl:lncRNA
CAAGUGUCAGGAGACAGUGUUUAACAGAGGUGAUUUACAAGACCUGAACAACUCUACCUACAGACCUGAUCAGUGAUUUUCAACACAAAGCCCUCACAUCUCAUGAGACUGGUUGCAUUAUGAGAGCACUUUACCUGUUCCUAUUGGUUUACCUACUGGGGAGCUCCUUUGCAGGAUCCAGUGCAGAGAGUAAUGGAGUAUGCACAAAAGAUGCCUGCACACAGGGCCCAGAUGCCACCUCGAACUUCUUACAGUGUGUGGGCCUGCCUCCAACAGACACGGGGGCAGAUGAAAUGCGAAAGCUGAAAGGAAUUCUUGAAGCCGCAAUGGAUGUGUACACGUUUAUGAAGUCAAGCAUGGCAAGCGGACCAAUUUUGAGCGUGGAGGGCGCUCUGGAAUUAGACUUGGCAGCAGACCCUCUACAGAAUCAAGAUCUGGUCAAGAUGUGGAUGGAGGUCAACAUGAAACCGCUGCUGAAAUCCAUCACCAAGCAGUUCUUGUCCUGUCUCAGCACCAGGAACUUCAGCUGCUCCACCUACCAGACUGUAGUGGAGGAGCUCAGUCAACACUAUUCUGAGAUGGAUCCAGUCAGGCAAAAGUGGAUCUACACAUUCUUUAUGUACCCGUUCCUGUCUUCAGCAACAGUUGAUGGCUGUGUGAGGCCAGAUGAGAGCAGUGCAGAAUGGCUGAUGAAGAACUUCGGUGCCUUCAGUGUCAUGGCCCGCUUGAAGGACUUUUCAGAGCUCAAUGUGGUCUUCAAUGGACUGGAGGUUCUUAACUUGUUGUCUCCAGCACAAAAGGCCGAGCUGCUCAUGAGCCCUUAUGUUGCCAGUUUAGACAAUGGCACAUUAGCUCUGGUCUUCCACAGUCUGCUAACAGGGGAAUCUGGCCCAUCACCCACUGAUGGCCCUGGAUGGGGUCCCAACUGGACAACCCCUGGGUACCCACCCUCCUAUCCAGUACAGCUGUCACAUAACCAUCAGCCAGGCCUCCAACAGGUCGUAAAUGGAUUCAUGUCAGCCUUCAAACCCAUCGGGAGCUUUGUUCAUAAUUUUGUGUCCUUCACACGUGAGAGAGAUCCGUCAAAUAUAAGAAGCACCACUUUGACCCAGUUCCUGCUCAACUGGACUCUGUCUGAGCUGGCUGGCAAAUACCAGCCAAGCGCACCUGUGGUCCCAGAGGGACCUCAGUUUGAUGUGACAAAUGUGGCAGACUGGUAUCAUUACGUUGUUAAGCCGCUGUUACGGAGGUUUUUGCCCGAUGAAGAACUCCUGAUGCAUGAAAACAUCACGCUCGCUUUCCAUGAAGUGUUCCGUCUGGACAACGGUAUGGACAAUAUGACGGUGAAUGAAAUCCAGGAUGUCUGUAGCAUCACCCUCGAUAAGAGCCCUUGCGGGCUGACCGAUGCGGUGGCAAACGUGGCUCAUGUCUUGCACUGCGCUGCUCGUAACAACCUGACCAUGACAGAAGCCGUCGUCUUGAAGCUGGUUCUAGAGCUGACUCAACGUCUGAACUUGCUGAUCAAGGAGCUCUCCACAGCAAACUUCACGCAGUUGGAAUCCGAGUUUAAGCAGAUCUUCAGCGAGUCAAACUCCGCAACUCUGACCCAGGAGCACCUGACGGACCCAGCCUUCAUCCAGCUCUGGUUCAAGGUCAAGCUGCUGCCCCUCCUGCCCAACGUACAGCCAGAGCUCCUCUCCUGCCUCAGCACCAAGAACUUCUCCUGCCCCGUUUACCAAACCCUUGUGGUGGCACUCAGUGAACGAAUGAACUUUUUGGAUGCUGAUCCGAUGUACAGCAGCAACAUCUACGAGUACUUCAUCUACCCCUUCCUGCUAAAUCACAACACCUCGGACCCCCAGUGUGUCUCUGCAGCUAAUAACAGCGCAGAAUGGCUGCAACUCAACUUUGGUUUCUUCUCAAGCUUUGCCUCUAUCAUUGACUUCUACAUACUCAACCCUUAUUUCUCUGGACUGGAGGCUCUUGACCUCCUGACUCCAAAUCAGACGGUAGAGUUGCUGCUCUUGACUCUCCCAACUCCACCAGAGAAAGACGUUGUCAUCAGUCAAGUGUUUAACUUCCUGACGGAGUCACCUGCAGCCAGGAAGUACCCAGAGGUCCUCAGCGCUUUGGUCAGGCUCGCUGGAAAGAUCAAUCCUUCCUGCGACAUCUACAAACAAAU